rnacentral:rRNA from 1 species
UAAGCGCCCCGCCUGGGGAGUACGGCCGCAAGGCUAAAACUCAAAGGAAUUGACGGGGGCCCGCACAAGCGGCGGAGCAUGUGGAUUAAUUCGAUGCAACGCGAAGAACCUUACCUGGGCUUGACAUCAGCAGGAUCGCCGCAGAGAUGUGGUUUCCCUUGUGGUCUGUUGACAGGUGGUGCAUGGUUGUCGUCAGCUCGUGUCGUGAGAUGUUGGGUUAAGUCCCGCAACGAGCGCAACCCUUGUCUUAUGUUGCCAGCACGUGAUGGUGGGGACUCAUGAGAGACUGCCGGGGUUA